rnacentral:lncRNA from 1 species
AUAAAGCCGAAAUUGCAAUUAUGCUAAGGGUGUGUUUGGUUCCACGUAAAACUGGGAAAAAAAAUUUUCCGUGGAAAAAAGUUUUUCAUGGAAAAUUUAUUUUACGGCUUUUAGUGUUUGGUUUGUAGGAAAAGAAAAUUAGUUUACAGUUACAGUUGUUGGUUAAAUGGUUGAAAGAAAAAAGUAUAAAUUUUUUUUAUUAUGUUUUUGAUAUAUUAUUUAUUUAUUAUUUAUGAAUUAAAUAUAUGAUAAAUUUAUAAGUAUUUAAUAUAAUAUAUGUAAUAGUCUGCAUAUAAUAUUAUAUAAAAAUAUAUAAUUUUUAUAAAUAAA